rnacentral:rRNA from 1 species
GACGAACGCUGGCGGCGUGCUUAACACAUGCAAGUCGAACGGAAAGGCCCUGCUUUUGUGGGGUGCUCGAGUGGCGAACGGGUGAGUAACACGUGAGUAACCUGCCCUUGACUUUGGGAUAACUUCAGGAAACUGGGGCUAAUACCGGAUAGGAGCUCCUGCUGCAUGGUGGGGGUUGGAAAGUUUCGGCGGUUGGGGAUGGACUCGCGGCUUAUCAGCUUGUUGGUGGGGUAGUGGCUUACCAAGGCUUUGACGGGUAGCCGGCCUGAGAGGGUGACCGGCCACAUGGGGACUGAGAUACGGCCCAGACUCCUACGGGAGGCAGAAGUGGGGAAUAUUGCACAAGGGGCGGAAGCCUGAUGCAGCAACGCCGCGUGCGGGAUGACGGCCUUCGGGUUGUAAACCGCUUUCGCCUGUGACGAAGCGUGAGUGACGGUAAUGGGUAAAGAAGCACCGGCUAACUACGUG